CUGAGAACUUCGUACGACUCUAUCUCAUAAAACCUGAACAGAGUUGGUAAGACUGCUCCAUGAGUAAACUGAACUGGCAAGCCUGACCCCCUGGAUUCAAUCCUUUGGCUACAGAAGGUAGGAGGAGAGAACCAACUUCUACAAGGUGUCCUCUGACCUCUAUUCACAUGCCAUCACACACACGUGCCAUCACACACACACAUGUCAUUGCAUACACAUGUCAUUGCACACACAUGCCAUUGCAUAUGCCCACACACAUGCUAUUGCAUAUGCCCACACAUAUGCCACUGCACAUGCCCACACACAUGCCAUUGCAUAUGCCCACACAUAUGCCAUUGCACAUGCCCAC
rnacentral:lncRNA from 1 species